ensembl:lncRNA
CAACAGCCAGCGCCGCGCUGCUUCCCUGCUGCAUCAAGGAGGGAGAGCCCGUCCCUGGUCUGCUCAAGGACCGGGUCUUCCAAACACUGGUGUUGCACCUCAGCCUUUUUUCUUCUCACAUUUGUGUUUUUAGGGCAACUUUUCUGCCCAGCCAACAGCUGAGAGAAAAAAAGGCUGCACCUAAAAAUAACCGUGCUGCGCUGACAGCAGUGAGUCACCACAGCACCAAGAGACAACAGCCGUGGCAGGAGGCAGCCGCCCGCCCUUCAGCCUCACACGUUCAUGGGCCUGGGUCAUGGUGCUGGGCGCUUCCUCCCCCAUGAAAACUCCUCUUCCUGAGAACACAGAUCCACACGUACAUCGAUAUUGAUACUGAGGUAAAACACACUGCUUUCCCUCACCCCGAUGGCUUAGACAUUGCAAACCGUUACUGAGUGUACCUCCCACCCCCCGUGCAUCCAGGUUGGCAGAAAAAAAGGUGAUUUUUUCCCUAACCCUGAGAUGAAACAACCCCCAUUUGCUGGAGCUCUCUUCUUUGGGAGGUAUUUCUGGAGGGAAAGAAGAGCUGCUGUUAAUGAUAAUAAUUAAUCAUUAGUGAUAACAACCAAGGGAAGCACUGAAAAGGUCAUCGAGUGACUCCUGUGUCUUAAUUUGCAGGGAGGCUCCUUUUUCUUUGAUUUCCCAUGAAUUCAGUUAUUUUUUCACCCUGUCCCCUGCAGUCUGGGCAGUGCUAUCAGGCAGCCUGGGGUCUGGCAGGGUUCUGGGUUUGACCACUGCGGUUCCCCCUCCACGGGGUGCAGAGGAAGGACAUCCCAGCGGGGUUUCUCCCGCUCGCUGCCUCGAGGCUGCGUCCCGAAGAACCUGACCUCGGCCCGAGGCCACCCUGAUAGGGGUGUGCCAGCAGCAGCUGCGGCAGCCCCACAAGUGCUGCAAGGAGACCCUGUUGGAGAGAAAGCCUGCUCCAUGGAGCCAUCCCUAAGGAUGCCUCACCUUUCAGGUUAAAUCUCGCUCAGGCAGCAGAAGGACUGGAGCUCACCCAGCACCUGGGCUGGGGAGGAGCAGCCAAAAAAACCCCACGGCGCAAACCUCUCCUGGGCCAACGCACGCCCCGGCGCAGGCAGGGUAGGGAGGCAGGAUGUGGCCCCGGCUCGCCUUCCCCACGGCCACGCCGCCCAACGAGGCAGCCUGGGGUGGCAAGCCGCAGUGUAAUUAACCAGCAUGAUAGAGCACGGAGGGGCCUGGUCGGCUCCAGCUCUGCAAGAGGGAUUUUGGCUUUGCACCUGCCCCGGUGCCGGGGGAGACAGUUGGGUGCAGUGGGACAGCACCCCCGAGCAGGGACCCUGAUGAGCAGCAGCAAGGUGCGAGGGGGCCCUGCUUUGUGGGCUGGGUGCCCUGCAUCACCUUGGGGUGACCUGUGCCACCAGGACAGGCAGGGAUGCUGCCUCCCAGAGAUUUUGGAAGUCAAAGCAAGGUCAUCUUCAGAGCGGGAGCUGGGCAGGAGGCGAUGCUGGGGCUUGCGGCGUUCCCACGCAGGCGCUUUGAUCCCUCACUGAAUUUGUAGCCUCCAAAAUACCUGUGGCUUUUGAAUUAUACCCUGAGCCUACCAUUCCCUGCCUUUUUUCUUGCUUUUUCACCCGCUUGCCCAAGCUGCCUGUGGCCUGCUCUCUGAAUUCCUCAGCUCCUUUGAGGUUGGCAGCCCUGAUAUUUUGGGGAAAG